CCUACGGGAGGCAGCAGUGAGGAAUAUUGGUCAAUGGACGAGAGUCUGAACCAGCCAAGUAGCGUGAAGGAUGAAGGCCCUAGGGGUUGUAAACUUCUUUUAUAUGGGAAUAAAAGGUUGCACGUGUGGGAGUUUGUAUGUACCAUAUGAAUAAGGAUCGGCUUACUCCGUGCCAGCAGCCGCGGUAAUACGGAGGAUCCGAGCGUUAUCCGGAUUUAUUGGGUUUAAAGGGGGGGUAGGGGGGGUGGUAAGUCAGUUGUGAAAGUUUGCGGCUCAACCGUAAAAUUGCAGUUGAAACUGGCAGUCUUGAGUACAGUAGAGGUGGGCGGAAUUCGUGGUGUAGCGGUGAAAUGCUUAGAUAUCACGAAGAACUCCGAUUGCGAAGGCAGCUCACUGGACUGCAACUGACACUGAGGCUCGAAAGUGUGGGUAUCAAACAGGAUUAGAUACCCCUGUAGUC
rnacentral:rRNA from 1 species